CAGCGAACGGGUGAGUAACGCGUGGGGAAUCUGCCUUUGAGCGGGGGACAACAUUUGGAAACGAAUGCUAAUACCGCAUAAAAAUUUUAAACACAAGUUUAAGUUUGAAAGAUGCAAUUGCAUCACUCAAAGAUGAUCCCGCGUUGUAUUAGCUAGUUGGUGAGGUAAAGGCUCACCAAGGCGAUGAUACAUAGCCGACCUGAGAGGGUGAUCGGCCACAUUGGGACUGAGACACGGCCCAA
rnacentral:rRNA from 1 species